UGCCAGACUCCUACGGGAGGCAGCAGUGGGGAAUAUUGGACAAUGGGGGGAACCCUGAUCCAGCGACGCCGCGUGAGUGAAGAAGUAUUUCGGUAUGUAAAGCUCUAUCAGCAGGGAAGAAAAUGACGGUACCUGACUAAGAAGCCCCGGCUAACUCCGUGCCAGCAGCCGCGGUAAUACGGAGGAUGCGAGCGUUAUCCGGAUUUAUUGGGUUUAAAGGGUGCGUAGGCGGACAGUCAAGUCAGCGGUAAAAAUGCGGUGCUCAACGCCGUACAGCCGUUGAAACUGGCAGUCUUGAGUGGGCGAGAAGUAUGCGGAAUGCGUGGUGUAGCGGUGAAAUGCAUAGAUAUCACGCAGAACUCCGAUUGCGAAGGCAGCAUACCGGCGCCCUACUGACGCUGAGGCACGAAAGCGUGGGUAUCGAACAGGAUUAGAUACCCGGGUAGU
rnacentral:rRNA from 1 species